UUUCCGUAGGUGAACCUGCGGAAGGAUCAUUAAAAAUGAAGCCGGGAAACCGGUCCUUCUCACCCUUGAUUAUCUCAAUUUGUUGCUUUGGUGGGCCGCGCAAGCACCGGCUUCGGCUGGAUCGUGCCCGCCAGAGGACCACAACUCUGUAUUAUAUGUCGUCUGAGUACUAUAAAAUAGUUAAAACUUUCAACAACGAAUCUCUUGGUUCUG
rnacentral:misc_RNA from 1 species